UCCAGCAAUGGGGGAAGAGGUGUAUUUAUUUAAAACUAAAACCAAUCAGCUUCGGCUGUUUGAGAUGAUUCAUAAUAACUCGGCAAAUUACGGGAAAAUUCCUGUGAUGAUUCAAACGGAUUUCUGACCUAUCAACUUUAGAUGGCAAAGUAGGGGUUUGCCAUGGUGACAACGGGUGACGGGGAAUUAGGGUUCGAUUCCGGAGAGGGAGCCUGAGAAACGGCUACCACUUCCGAGGAAGGCAGCAGGCGCGCAAAUUACCCAAUGCUAAUUCGGCGAGGUAGUGACAAGAAAUACCAAUGUAGGACCCAACGGGUACUACGUUUGGAAUGAGAACAAUUUAAAAACCUUAACGAGGAACAAUUGGAGGGCAAGUCUGGUGCCAGCAGCCGCGGUAAUUCCAGCUCCAAUAGUGUAUAUUAAAGUUGCUGCGGUUAAAAAGCUCGUAGUUGGAUUACGAAGUGGUGUUUAGAUGUCAUUUUGGUUUGUUUGUCUUUCGGGGCAUUCAGGUCAACUUGGCUUUUACUCACUGUUGUCAUUGUCUUUGCCCAAGGUAUAUGCCUUGUGUGCAUGGCAUUGACCUUCUAUUUUAUGGUAAUGUUGUAUCUUUCGGGGUACAUUCAUUCCAUAUAGUUUACUUUGAAAAAAUUAGGGUGUUUAAAGCAGGCGAAAAGGCUUCGGAAUAUAUUAGCAUGGGAUAAUAGAAUACGAUCUAGGUCGUAAUUUGUUGGUUUCUACGGCUUAGGUAAUGAUUGACAGGGAUAGUUGGGGUCGCUCGUAUUGAGUUGUCAGAGGUGAAAUUCUAGGAUUAACUCAAGACGAACUAAUGCGAAAGCAUUCGGCAAGGAUGUUUUCAUUAAUCAAGAACGAAAGUUGGGGGAUCGAAGAUGAUCAGAUACCGUCGUAGUCUCAACUGUAAACUAUGUCGACCGAGGAUCCGGUAGCGUUACAUGGAUGACCUUCCGGGCACUCUGUGAGAAAUCAUAAGUAUUUGGAUUUCGGGGGGAGUAUGGUCGCAAGGCUGAAACUUAAAGGGAUUGACGGAAGGGCACCACCAGGAGUGGAAUCUACGGCUUAAUUUGACCCAACACGGGAAAACUUACCAGGUCCGGACACAGUGAGGAUUGACAGAUUGAGAGCUCUUUCUUGAUUUUGUGGGUGGUGGUGCAUGGCCGUUUUUAGUUGGUGGAGUGAUUUGUCUGGUUAAUUCCGUUAACGAACGAGACCUUAACCUAUUAAAUAGCUGCGCGAACCCAGGUUCUUUAACCAUUCUCUCCUUCGGGGGGGCGUGGUAUCAUUAUUUUGCUUUUCACUUUCGGGUGGGAG
rnacentral:rRNA from 1 species